rnacentral:rRNA from 1 species
AUUGAACGCUGGCGGCAUGCCUAACACAUGCAAGUCGAACGGCAGCACAGCAGUAGCAAUACUGUGGGUGGCGAGUGGCGGACGGGUGAGGAAUACGUCGGAAUCUGCCCAGUCGUGGGGGAUAACUAGCCGAAAGGUUAGCUAAUACCGCAUACGACCGAGAGGUGAAAGCGGGGGGACCGCAAGGCCUCGCGCGAUUGGAUGAGCCGACGUCGGAUUAGCUAGUUGGCGGGGUAAAGGCCCACCAAGGCGACGAUCCGUAGCUGGUCUGAGAGGAUGAUCAGCCACACUGGAACUGAGACACGGUCCAGACUCCUACGGGAGGCAGCAGUGGGGAAUAUUGGACAAUGGGCGCAAGCCUGAUCCAGCAAUGCCGCGUGUGUGAAGAAGGCCUCGG